GUGCCCGUAGCUCAAUUGGAUAGAGCGCUGCCCUCCGAAGGCAGAGGUUACAGGUUCGACUCCUGUCGGGCAUG
rnacentral:tRNA from 1 species